CACGUAGGGUGCAAGCGUUGUCCGGAAUCAUUGGGCGUAAAGAGCUCGUAGGCGGUUAGACAAGUCGGGUGUGAAAGCUCGAGGCUCAACCUCGAGACGCCACUCGAUACUGUUUUGACUGGAUUCCGGUAGAGGAGUGCGGAAUUCCUGGUGUAGCGGUGAAAUGCGCAGAUAUCAGGAGGAACACCGGCGGCGAAGGCGGUGCUCUGGGCCAGUAUUGACGCUGAGGAGCGAAAGCGUGGGUAGCAAACAGG
rnacentral:rRNA from 1 species